AAGAGUUGCAGAACUCCUUAAACCCACUGUGAACUUACCUUUGUCGUUGCUUCGGUGGGCAGCCCCAGGGCGGGGCUGCACCUAUUUUAUAGGUGCCCGCCGAAUGCUUUAUAAACUCUUGUUAUUUUUGAGACUCAGAGUUAUUAUUUCAAAUAAAUCA
rnacentral:misc_RNA from 1 species